rnacentral:misc_RNA from 1 species
CUCCCCAAGUUCUAUUUCAACAAAUUCUCUCAAAUUGUUUACUUCCUCCAAAAUACCUUCAACAUUGAAAGUACCACUUGCACUAUCUUUGGAGCUAGCACCUUGCUCAAAUCUAAGCUUUCUACCAUCAUCAUCUUUUUGCAAGCUAGUGAUUGGGAUCAUAUUGGUCCUAAGUUUCUCGGAUUCCAAAGGUAUCCCAAAGUCUCUAAAUAGACCAUUUAGAAGAUGAGCAUAGGGUAGCUUAUAGGGUGGCU